UAUGUGAGACGGACGAAAAAGUUUUAUACCCCCUCCGAGAACGUACAAUAUAAUAUAGGUAAUAGUUUUUCUUCUCCUUGCUCAGCUUGUCGAUCCCUCGAGGACCAUUGCUGGCAUUACGAUGCCGCUCCCUUCUGUCUCAUCGUACGCUAAAUAAAAAUUCGUAUUCUAUUCUAUAUCAUUUAAACAAUACCAUCCAACUAGCGGGUUUUGGAUCUUCUUAACGGUCGUUUUGUGUUUA